CAGCCACUUACAGAAAUUCUUAAAGUUACAGAAAGAGACGAUUGUUACGACAAGUCAGAGAUGGCGGAUCCUUUUCGAAUCAUCUACGGAUUGCUAUUGUUCAUGUAUCUAAAAAUGGAUCCCACCAGAACACAAAGACUAAGUCUAUGAGGAAAAUAAAGUUUUUGAUCAACGACUAAAAAUUGUCAUGAACAGAUAAAAUAUGAGAUAGAGACAGAACUGGUAUGAAAGGUGACAGUAGAACAUUGAAAUAAUUUGAAAGAAACAAGUUGGCAAAGAUAUAUAUCACAUGCAUAGGAAGAUCAAUGGAAAAUAACAUUGAAGCAGAAUUAUGAAACAGUUAUUAAAAAAAAACCAUUAAAUUGAGAGAGAGAAAAACACAUUUUUUUACUUUUUAAUGCUGUUCAUUCUUAAGAUUACUGUUUAUUGUAUUUCGAUGGAAGUUAUUGCAGUUGAUAAGAAGAUAGAACAAAAAUUUGAGUUCUUCAGCUUGUUUUAUUCAGUCAAUAAAAAUUAAUUUUGAAAA